GCUAACUGGACAAUCUGAACGAGUCACACCACACACUCAGCGGCUGCUGUCUGCAUCAGCGUGUACCAAAAGGAAACGAACCUGGUGACUUAACUGGAUCCAACUUAAAGAUUAAUGACCCUCCUACACACACAGAUGGAAGGCCGAGGACAUCCAUUUUUCUUUUUCAUAUCUGAGCCCUCAGCCCAUCCAGAACAGGACCUGUAAAACAGCUACAAAGUUAUCUCGUGGACUCCGGGGGAGAGGUACAACAAAAGCAUCUCUUAGCAAGGGAAGUAAAAGCCAACGGAGUAGAAAAUCACCUCCAACGCCAGCCCCGCCUCUGUCUGGAGACAUCUGUCCAACAUUAAUAAGCCAUUUAGAGAAAUAUAAGGGAGAGAGAGGGGAGAGUCAUGGGUAAGAAGGACAUUAUGAGACAGAAGUGAGGAGGGUGAGGCAGGCAGAAGACGAGGAAACCACCCAAGUGCCAAAGAGGAACCACUACCCUGAGACAACGCCGCCUCUCUCCUGGCCAGCGUGCACCUCAGCUCUGUGGAAGAAGCAAGGGAGGUUCUGGAGGUUUCUUAAGGAGAGUUUAAGAGACCAGAUGUCCAUCCAUCCUCUCACAGCACAUUCUUAAAAACAAUUUGCAAGAGCCCAGGCAUUCCAUUCAAAUUAGGAGAUGUUUUGAAAAGAAAUGAAGACUUUAGCCACUGAUACAGGCCCUCUGGAAGGGCAGGACAGUUAAGACUCCCGUAUCAGAGUUUUCUAGCCAACCUCAGAAUCAUGGCUGGGCGGCAGCAGGAUCCCUGAAAGACUCCACGAAUGCUGUGGGCAGACUCCUUCUGAGAGGGUGAGUCCAUGACAGCAGAGCAAAGGCAUGGCGGUAGAAACAGCUGAGCGCUCACAUCUGGAUCUGCAAGGACAAGGCAGUGAGCACACUGGAAAGGUGGCCCAUCUUCUGGAAGCUCAAAUUCUGCACCUAGUGACCCACCUCCUUGAACAAGGCCACCCCUGCUAAUUCUUCCUGAAUUGUUUACCAACUGGGAACCAAGUAUUCAAACAAAUGAGCCCUCAGCAGCCGUUCUCAUUCAAACCACCCAGGAGUGAGGGAGGCGAAAAAGACAAACACUUAGACACACCGAAGGCUGGGACGGGGUUGAGGGAGAUGCCUCAGCGCCCAAAAGCUCAGAGCGUAUUUUAGAUACAGUUGAACAGAGAGUGGGGUUAUUGUAUACAGCUGAACAAGGUGGCGGGGUUAUUGCAUACAGAUAAAGAAGGAGGCAGAGCUUAUGGUAUAACACUGGGCCAAGGAGACAAGUUUAGCCAAACUUGGCAGGAGCAGUCUUCAGGCCAAAAUAUGGAGGAGUGGACAAGAAGCUAUGGUGGGCACUUUUUUCUGCAUAUAUUAGCAACAUCCACAUGUGGAAGGCUUCGCUGUCCGGCUGAGCCUUACUCUAGAUCAGUGGUUGUCAACCUUCCGAAUGCUGCGACCCUCUAAUAUAGUUCAUGUGGCGGUGACCCCCACACACACCAUAAAAUACUUUCAUUGCCAUUUCAUAGCUGUGAUUUUGCUACUGUUAUGAACCAUCAUGUAAAUACUUUUGGAGAUAGAGGUUUGCCAAACAGGUCAUGACCCACAAGUUUGUCACGGGCAUUUCUAUUGCGUUUAUUAGUGUAUAAUCAUUAUACAAAACAAUAGAUUUCGUUAUGACGUUCUCAUGCAUGUAAGUCAUGUACUUUGGUCAAAUUCAGUUCCCAUUAUCCUUUCUCACUCCCCUUCCUUGACACAAAAGCAUUUAAUCUUUCUGUCUAUCCCUGUACCAAUACCAUCCUGCCUCCUUAUUAAAGUUUUGAUAGCUACACGGUAAUUCUUACUUUUAUGUUCUUUAAGAAUUUCUUGGAGAAUGGGCCUCUAUGUAAUUGCAUUGGUUAAUUAUAGAGAUCUUUCUGUCUGUUAUUCCCAGCUGGGUAUCAUGAUACGUGUCUUUAACUCCAUCACUCAGGAGACAGCAGCAGGAAAACCAUGACUUCCAGGCUAGUCUGAGAUAGAAAAGAAAAAGCUCUGUUUCCUAAGCUCCAGGGCAGGGCGUGUAGCUCAGUGACAGUGUUUGCCGAGCUCUAAGUCUUUCCUUUUCACCCCAGCACCUUUAACCUAUACACACAGACACGCAGAUGCGCAUGCACAUUAUUCUUCUCAUCUGUUCUUCUUCGUGAUCUUUCAUGAGACCUUAGAAUGAUCUUUAUAAAGGUCAGGCAUGUGUUCUGUUAGAUUCGUCUCCUGGCACCUUCUUCCUUGAUAUCAUUCUAAAUAGAUCUGUUGCUAAAAUUUCUCCCCGGGGGAAAAUUUAAACAAUGUCUAACUCCUCUGCCUGUAGCUCCCAACAACAAGCUAAGGUACAGUUCCCCAUUCACCCAGGGAAACCGAUGAUGAGUUUCUUAGACUUAAGAGCUAUGAGCAAGGGAUUAUGGUCAGGAAUGUGGGUGGUUUAAAGCAGCCACGCCAGGUCUGCACAUACCAUGGGAGAUGACUCCCACUGGCUUUGAAGAUAGAGGUCUUCUCCCCUAGUUUUUCCUUGCCUAUAUAUUCCAGCCCCUUCCCAAAGCCAUGUCAAGUUUGAACAGAAUUCCAUACAACAGUUUGAGAGACAUGGCUGGAUGCCUGGGUGAGGGUUCCAUGAUCUUCUCUGUCCUUCCUGCCAUGAGGGAAUGUCAACCGUGAACAAACCCAACUGUAACGAACCUUUGCAUGGUGGCCAUUUGUCUCAGAGAAAGUUGUAUAUAGUAAAACACAAAACAACAACAAAAACUUCCUAUUUGUUGCCAUUGUUUUUAGAUGCUAAUGACUUAGUAUGUUGACUCUGACAUCGAGCAACAUUAUAAAGGUUUACACUCUGCUCACUAUUCUCAUAUUCUUUUGACUAUUUGCAUACUCCAUCACAUCCUUGUAGUUUUCCCCCUGCCAAUUUGGAUAUAUAUUUUACUUCUUACCUCACUCUACUGCUUUGGUCCUCAUACAAUUCUGAGCAAAAAAUGUGGCAAACACAACACUUGUGCUCAGUUUCCAAGGAAAGGGUGACUUGUGAUCUUUUCUGUAGGUUUCUAUAAAUACCCUUCUUCAAGAAAAGCAUUCCUGAGAGAUGUGGUGGCAAUUGUCUUUAAUCCUCGCACUCAGGGAGGCAGAGGCUGGUGGAUCCCUGUGAAGCCAGUCUGGUCUACAUAGAAAGUUCCAGACUGGCCAGGGUGUCAAAGUGAGAGCCUGUGGUAUAAAACAAACAAACAAACAAAAGAGCAUUCCUAGUCUUCUGUGAACUUGGUCUGGGUGGAUAAUGAAUGUCUGCAUCUGUUCAGAUCAUCACCAAUUCUUUAAUGUGGUGAAUUACAUUAAUUGGUUUUCUCAUUGUAGCCCAACUUCUAGUAGGUUUGGUUAUGCUCUUAUUUCGCCAGGUUGAAAAUGCUAAAAUGUCAUUCAGGGGUUUUGCAUCUGUAUUUGAGUGAGAUUGGACUUGAUUUUUUCUUUUUCAUGCUCUUCUCAUCAGGUUUUGGUGUGAAUGCUACACUCGAUUCAUGAAACAAACUGGGAAAGAAGCUACCUAUCCUACACUCUGGGGUAGCUUGUAUGAGACUGAUUUCUUACCAGUCCAGUGUUGGACCAAAAGCUUUCGCAGAACUGUUUCAGGUUGAAUGUUUCCUUCUGGAAAAUAGCUACUGGUGUAGAUAGACAUUCUUGCAUGAUUAUGACUCUGUCCUGACUUCCUUGUUCAGUUUUCAAAUCGAUUUGCACAAAAACAACAUUCUCUUUGUAAUUUCUAGAUUGUGUGUGAUUAUAGUUUUUAUGUUAUUUACACUGGUGUGUUCCUUUUUUUUUCUCUCUUCAUUGUUUUCCAAAAGGAUUGUAAAUUUAUGAGUCUUAGAUAAACAAACUUGGGCAGGUAUUGUUUCUGCUGUGUGUUUGUUUCUAGUUUUAUUAUUUUUCCUUAAUUACUUUCUUCUAUUUGCCUUUGUUUUGCUGAUUUUUUUCUAGCCUCUACGCUCUUUACAUUUCAAAAUUUUUCUCUUACAAUUCUCUUACAAUUACUGGUUCAGUUUUUGCUUCUGAAGCUUUAAUACAUCGUACCAAAUAUCCGAUAUAUAACACUGAAGCAUUACUAUAUUUCCAUACAGCUUUGUUUCUUGACCACGGCUUUCUUAGUCAACCAGUUUUUCUAGUUAUCUUUUCUUACUUAAUUUUCAUUAUUUUUUUAUUAUCAUUUGAGAUAAGGUUUUACUCUAUACCCAAGCGGGCCUCAAAUUCUUGAUCUUCCUGCCUCUCCCUCCCAAUUCUGGGAUUAUAACCCUGCACUACCAGGCUAGUUACAUUUUAAAAAUGAAAUCUUGUCUUAGUUAUAUUGUAUGUGGUCACAGACUCUAAUUGAUGUGCUCCAAAUUAUUCAAAAUGCUUCUAGACCUGCUUUAUGGCUCACAUGUGUCAAUUUUAGUGAGGUUUUGGAGUGGGCUUGCAAAAAACCUAUUAUUUCCCCCAUUCUUUUAUUUUGCUUCUGGUGAUCCAUUUUUACUGGUCUUCUAUUAAGCAUAUGGUAUCUUUUCCUUCUGCCCUUUAAGAAAGAGUUGCAGGAAGCAAUGUUCAAAUCCAGGUUUAGCAAAUACCCUUCAGGCCAAACGCUGAAAACUUUCUGCUCUCUUUGGCUUCUGGCCUUCAUCCUGUCUUGGUGCUACUUCACUUCUAAGUUUCGUGCCAAUUCACAGACUUUUCCAGAAUGUAUUUUAAACGUUUCGCUUUGUGUGUGGGGGUGGGGUGGGGUGGAGGAAUCCCCGAGUGUGUGAGGUCCUGAGUGAAUUCGUGUUGUUGUUAUGGGAUCAGCUAUAUACAGGACGCUAGCCUCAGACCAGAGGGAAAUGGAUAGCCUUCCCUUUUGGUCUGUGUGUGGAUAUUGACAGUGUGUAUAGAAAACGUCCAUGGUAACUUUCUUCUCUGAGGGUUUCAGGGCUUGAAGACUGACUGCUCCCCUCCAGAGCUUUCUCUACGAAGACUAACCCCAUCUCUUUUGUCUGGCUGGACACCACAGACUCUGCCUCCUUGUUUAUGUGUACGUAAUAACCUCACCUCUUUGUUCAGCUGUGGGAAAUAACCCUGCCUCCAAGUUCAACUGUAUGUUAUGAACACGCCAAGCCUCCUGGGUAAUGCAGUCUCUCCCACUGAGAGUUCAGAUCACUCAAUCCCAGAUUUCUGUCUGUCUGUCUUUUCUUCAUUCUCUUGCCACCACAGGCAGGUCUGUCCCUAAAGCCAGGCAGCAACCUUGUAUUUUUCCUUUUAGUAGGAAAGAUUGUCUGAUCCCCCAGACAAGCAUAUUCCUAGAAAAAUAAAUGCGUCUUUAUUGGGCAAUAGGUGUUCAUUGAUUGCCUGGAAUGCACUGAGGAAGAGCUAUGAUUGCUACCUCUAUGUGGUCAACCUAUGGGCUUCAGAAAAAAGAGUCAUUGAUUGGGGGUGGGUAGU